UACGUAGGGUGCAAGCGUUGUCCGGCAUUAUUGGGCGUAAAGCGCUCGUAGGCGGUCUGUUGCGUCGGCUGUGAAAACCCGGGGCUCAACUCCGGGCCUGCAGCCGAUACGGGCAGACUAGAGUUCGGCAGGGGAGACUGGAAUUCCUGGUGUAGCGGUGAAAUGCGCAGAUAUCAGGAGGAACACCGGUGGCGAAGGCGGUUCUCUGGGCAUUACCUGACGCUGAGGAGCGAAAGUGUGGGGAGCGAACAGG
rnacentral:rRNA from 1 species